CCUACGGGAGGCAGCAGUAAGGAAUAUUGGUCAAUGGACGCAAGUCUGAACCAGCCAUGCCGCGUGAAGGAUUAAGGCCCUCUGGGUUGUAAACUUCUUUUAUAGGGGACGAAAAAAGGGCAUUCUUGCUCACUUGACGGUACCCUAGGAAUAAGCACCGGCUAACUCCGUGCCAGCAGCCGCGGUAAUACGGAGGGUGCAAGCGUUAUCCGGAUUUACUGGGUUUAAAGGGUGCGUAGGUGGGUUGGUAAGUCAGUGGUGAAAUCUUCGAGCUUAACUCGGAAACUGCCAUUGAUACUAUCAAUCUUGAAUCAUCUAGAGGUAAGCGGAAUAUGUCAUGUAGCGGUGAAAUGCUUAGAUAUGACAUAGAACACCAAUUGCGAAGGCAGCUUACUAUGGAUGUAUUGACACUGAGGCACGAAAGCGUGGGGAUCAAACAGGAUUAGAUACCCUGGUAGUCCACGCCCUAAACGAUGGAUACUCGACAUUUGUGAUAUACUAUAAGUGUCUGAGCGAAAGCAUUAAGUAUCCCACCUGGGAAGUACGACCGCAAGGUUGAAACUCAAAGAGUAGUAGACGNGNGAGAGACGACGACGACGACGACGGAGGGAGGAG
rnacentral:rRNA from 1 species